rnacentral:rRNA from 1 species
GACGUAUGGUGCAAGCGUUAUCCGGAUUUACUGGGUGUAAAGGGAGCGUAGGCGGCGCGUUAAGUCUGAUGUGAAAACCCGAGGCUCAACCACGGGAGUGCAUUGGGAACUGGCGGGCUGGAGUGCCGGAGAGGUAAGCGGAAUUCCUAGUGUAGCGGUGAAAUGCGUAGAUAUUAGGAGGAACACCAGUGGCGAAGGCGGCUUACUGGACGGCAACUGACGCUGAGGCUCGAAAGCGUGGGGAGCAAACAGG